UUUUAUAUGAAAAUGAUUUGCUCAUUUGAUACAAAAAUAACUAAUUGCAUUUGAAUGAAAUCUGGGAUUAGUGAGGAUUCACGAUUUCAAUGGUUUUUGGAUGCAAAGUCAAAGCAUGAAUGGUCCUUAUUGAAAAGUCUUAUCUUUCAUUCGUAUAUAUGUAUAGCUGGAUGUAUUCUUUAUUUUAUGGUUCACACAUAUAUUUGUCUUUGAUCUGACUUUAUUUAUUUUUAAUGAUCAAUAUGUUUUUGUGACCAUAAUUAAGAAUUAUUUUCUGUUUAUGAUCCAUAUCCG
rnacentral:lncRNA from 1 species